rnacentral:lncRNA from 1 species
UCCUUUUCAACAAAACACGUUCCAGAAGUGGUGGGAAGCGCUGUGCCUCAGCCUGAGGCAGCUGUGCUCCGCCACAAAACGCCCGGGAGAACUUCGCCUCAGGGCACUUCGCCUCGAGGCGGAUCCCAGCGGGGCGCCGCGCGAGCCCCCGUCCCGCCGCGCGCUCCAGGUGCUGCCCUCAGCCCCCGGCCGGGCCCCGCCGCCCCGCGGAGGCCGCUCGAGGACCCGAGCAACGGUCCCGGAGGGGCGGAGCCGCACCUGAGCCCGCAGGGACGGUUCGAAGCAGCGAGCGGACUCCGGCUACUCCGCAGAGACACCGGCUCCCCCGGUCACCGAGGAGACGGGCGCCGGGCUCCGCCACACCGCACGGCGGCCACUGGCUGCUUGGAGCUGUCACUCAGCGCACUCACCCGGCAGGGGUGGCGGUCGGGUUCCCGGACAGAGAAAGGGGAGAGACAAUACCCAGCGCCAAAGAACUACAGCUCCCGGCGUGCUCCGCGAGCGGCCGGCUCCCUGCGGCCAUACGGAACGGGCCGCGCGGGGCAUGCCGGGAGUGGUAGUUCUUCCCCCUUCCCGAGCCGCCGAGCCUCCAGCGAGGAGGGCAGUGCGCAGGCGCGGGUUGGCCGCGCUCUUUCGAACGGAGCUGAGGCGGUGCUGUGGCGUUCUGCGCAGAAUGGAGCGUCCAAAGUGCAGAACUGUGCGCGGUUUUGUACAUUAGCUGUAGUUUUCUACCCUACGGGAAGCUGUGCCGUCCAGACAGCACAUGACACGAGCGACAAGUUCUAAAAAUAGGGGAUUUACUCAUUUCCAUGUUUGUCUCUAGGCAAAGGAAGACUAACAUGGAAAUGAACCUGUCAGUCAAAAGCUGAAGGACAACGCUUAUCUUUCCUCCCAGUAUUUUUCCUCAGAGCAGGACAUACACAUCCCACAGCUCGCUGCUGGCUUCUUUGUAAGAAAAACUUACAGUUUAAAACUGUGUCUUGAUGGUUUAACUUCAGUAUUUCCUCUAAUUUUUAUCUUGUCUGGGAAAUUUUCAUAGUAUCUCCUGUCCCUUCUCAAACAUUCGUGGCUUUGGGGGGAAAAAAAAGAAAGAAAAAAUACGGGCCAAGAGAAAAACUCUGCCAGAAAAAUAAAGGAACCUUCUCUUCCA